rnacentral:rRNA from 1 species
UACGUAGGGUGCGAGCGUUGUCCGGAAUUAUUGGGCGUAAAGAGCUCGUAGGCGGUCCGUCGCGUCGAAUGUGAAAACCCGGGGCUCAACCCCGGGCUUGCAUUCGAUACGGGCGGACUAGAGUUCGGUAGGGGAGACUGGAAUUCCUGGUGUAGCGGUGAAAUGCGCAGAUAUCAGGAGGAACACCGGUGGCGAAGGCGGGUCUCUGGGCCGAUACUGACGCUGAGGAGCGAAAGCGUGGGGAGCGAACAGG